rnacentral:rRNA from 1 species
GUCCACGCCCUAAACGAUGUCAACUGGGUGUUGGGGGAGCGAUUCCUCAGUACCGUAGCUAACGCGUGAAGUUGACCGCCUGGGGAGUACGGCCGCAAGGUUAAAACUCAAAGGAAUUGACGGGGACCCGCACAAGCGGUGGAUGAUGUGGAUUAAUUCGAUGCAACGCGAACAACCUUACCUACCCUUGACAUGUCCGGAAGCUUGCCGAGAGGUGAGUGUGCCCGAAAGGGAAUCGGAACACAGGUGCUGCAUGGCUGUCGU